GAAGAAUCCAGAGAUGGAUUUGUGCCUUCGGGAACUGUGAGACAGGUGCUGCAUGGCUGUCGUCAGCUCGUGUUGUGAAAUGUUGGGUUAAGUCCCGCAACGAGCGCAACCCUUAUCCUUUGUUGCCAGCGGUUAGGCCGGGAACUCAAAGGAGACUGCCAGUGAUAAACUGGAGGAAGGUGGGGAUGACGUCAAGUCAUCAUGGCCCUUACGACCAGGGCUACACACGUGCUACAAUGGCGCAUACAAAGAGAAGCGACCUCGCGAGAGCAAGCGGACCUCAUAAAGUGCGUCGUAGUCCGGAUUGGAGUCUGCAACUCGACUCCAUGAAGUCGGAAUCGCUAGUAAUCGUGGAUCAGAAUGCCACGGUGAAUACGUUCCCGGGCCUUGUACACACCGCCCGUCACACCAUGGGAGUGGGUUGCAAAAGAAGUAGGUAGCUUAACCUUCGGGAGGGCGCUUACCACUUUGUGAUUCAUGACUGGGGUGAAGUCGUAACAAGGUAACCGUAGGGGAACCUGC
rnacentral:rRNA from 3 species